rnacentral:tRNA from 1 species
GGGUGAUUAGCUCAGCUGGUUAGAGCAUCUCGUUUACACCGAGAGGGUCUGCGGUUCGAAUCCGUAAUCACCCACCA